GGCAUGGGGGAACCCUGAUCCAGCAAUGCCGCGUGAGUGAAGAAGGCCUUCGGGUUGUAAAGCUCUUUUGUCAGGGAAGAAACGGCUGAUGCUAAUAUCAUCGGCUAAUGACGGUACCUGAAGAAUAAGCACCGGCUAACUACGUGCCAGCAGCCGCGGUAAUA
rnacentral:rRNA from 1 species